GGGCGUGUAGCUCAGUUGGUUAGAGCGCCUCCCUUACAAGGAGGAGGUCAUCGGUUCGAGUCCGUUCACGCCCA
rnacentral:tRNA from 1 species